UCCGGUUUAUCACCGGCAGUCUCCACAGAGUCCUCGGCUUUACCCGUUAGUAACUGUGAACAAGGGUUGCGCUCGUUGCGGGACUUAACCCAACAUCUCACGACACGAGCUGACGACAGCCAUGCAGCACCUGUCUCCGGUCCAGCCGAACUGAAGGGAUCCAUCUCUGGAUCCCGCGACCGGGAUGUCAAACGCUGGUAAGGUUCUGCGCGUUGCUUCGAAUUAAACCACAUACUCCACCGCUUGUGCGGGCCCCCGUCAAUUCCUUUGAGUUUCAGUCUUGCGACCGUACUUCCCAGGCGGCGAACUUAGCGCGUUAGCUUCGAUACUGAGCUCCAAGUUGAGCCCAACAUCCAGUUCGCAUCGUUUAGGGCGUGGACUAC
rnacentral:misc_RNA from 1 species